AGCAGCCGCGGUAAUUCCAGCUUCAAUAGCGUAUAUUAAAGUUGUUGCAGUUAAAAAGCUCGUAGUUGAAUUUCGGGGUCAGUAGUUUGGUCGUGCCAAUGGUAUGUACUGGGCUCACUGAUUCCUCCUUCCUGAUGAACUGUAAUGCCAUUAAUUUGGUGUUGCAGGGAAACUGGACUGUUACUUUGAAAAAUUAGAGUGUUUAAAGCAAGCUAACGCUUGAAUACAUUAGCAUGGAAUAAUGAAAUAGGACGUUCGAUCCUAUUUUGUUGGUUUCUAGGAUUGACGUAAUGAUUAAUAGGGAUAGUUGGGGGCAUUAGUAUUCAAUUGUCAGAGGUGAAAUUCUUGGAUUUAUUGAAGACUAACUACUGCGAAAGCAUUUGCCAAGGAUUGUUUUCAUUAAUCAAGAACGAAAGUUAGGGGAUCGAAGACGAUCAGAUACCGUCGUAGUCUUAACCAUAAACUAUGCCGACUAGGGAUCGGAUGAUGUUAAUUUUUUAAUGACUCAUUUCGGCGUCCG
rnacentral:rRNA from 1 species